GCCUAAAAACUAGCCCGCCCACCACAAACAAUAAAACUUUAUUAAACCAUCCCCCACAGGAAUUAAAAGCAAUAAACAAAUCAUUUAUCCGCCCCAGUAUGGGAGACAGAAAAGGAGUAAGGAGCAAUAGACAAAGUACCGCAAGGGAAAGCUGAAAGAGAAAUGAAAAAACUCAUUUAAGCCAAUGAAAGCAGAGACUAAAGCUCGUACCUUUUGCAUCAUGAUUUAGCCAGAAGCCCCCAAGCAAAGUGACCUGUAGUUUGGACCCCCGAAACUGAAGCGAGCUACUCCAAGAUAGCCUGUAAUUUAGGGCAAACCCGUCUCUGUGGCAAAAGAGUGGAAAAAUCUUCAAGUAGAGGUGACAAACCUACCGAGCUCAGUUAUAGCUGGUUGCCUGGGAAAUGAAUAUAAGUUCAGCCCCUCGUCCCCCCGCCCCAAGCCGCAUAGAGCGCCGCUAGGCUCCGGAGGAGCCGACGGAGUUAGUCAAAAGAGGUACAGCUCUUUUGAAAAAGACACAACUUAAUCAGGAGGCCAAAGACCAUAUUUAACAAGGAAAAUUACCCCAGUGGGCUUGAAAGCAGCCACCUAAGCAGAAAGCGUUAAAGCUCAAUUAAUGCUCCAACCAGUCAUACUGAUAAAAAAUCUUUCUCCCCUACAACUACCGGGCCGUCCCACGCACCCGUGGGAAAGACUAUGCUAAAAUGAGUAAUAAGAGGGCAGGUCCCUCUCCCAGCACCCGUGUAAGUCGGAACGGACCCACCGCCGACCAUUAACCGCCCUCAAACAAAGAGAGCCGUGCACAAAACAUAAAAUACAAGAAAAACGUACACCCCAAAAGCGUUAGCCCCACACAGGCGUGCAACAAAUGGAAAGACUAAAAGAAAAAGAAGGAACUCGGCAAACACAAGCCUCGCCUGUUUACCAAAAACAUCGCCUCUUGUAUAACCAAGAUAAGAGGUCCCGCCUGCCCUGUGACAAAUGUUUAACGGCCGCGGUAUUUUGACCGUGCGAAGGUAGCGCAAUCACUUGUCUCUUAAAUGGAGACCUGUAUGAAUGGCAUCACGAGGGCUUAGCUGUCUCCUUUUUCCAGUCAAUGAAAUUGAUCUCCCCGUGCAGAAGCGGGGAUAAACACAUAAGACGAGAAGACCCUAUGGAGCUUAAGACCAACCUCGGCCCAUGUGGAGCACUCAACAAAGGCAGAACUAAAUGGACCCGAGGAAGUGUCUUUGGUUGGGGCGACCGCGGGGGAUCAACAAGCCCCCGUGUGGAAUAGAGAAACAUCUCUAGAACCCAGAGCUACUGCUCCAAGUAACAGAACAUCUGACCUACACGAUCCGGCAAAGCCGAUCAACGAACCGAGUUACCCUAGGGAUAACAGCGCAAUCCUCUCCCAGAGCCCAUAUCGACGAGGGGGUUUACGACCUCGAUGUUGGAUCAGGACAUCCUAAUGGUGCAGCCGCUAUUAAGGGUUCGUUUGUUCAACGAUUAAAGUCCUACGCGAUCUGAGUUCAGACCGGAGCAAUCCAGGUCAGUUUCUAUCUAUGAAAUGUUCUCUUCCAGUACGAAAGGACCGAAGAGGAGAGGCCCAUGCCGAGAGCACGCCUCCCCCUUACCCAGUGAAAUCAACUAAAAUGGACAAAAGGGCAUGCCCAAUUUGGGCCAAAGAUAAUGGCAA
rnacentral:rRNA from 1 species